UCCUCCAUAGCUCAGUGGUUAGAGCGUCCAACCGGCACCUGGAAGGUCAUGGGUUCGAUUCCCGUUGGGGAAC
rnacentral:tRNA from 1 species